AGUGUUCUUACAUUGCACUGGCCGCCGCGCUGAUGUCCGAUCUCCAGGAGGGGCCGCCCUGUCACCCGCUGUCACUGUUGAGCCGCUACUCCAUCCUCUGCCCGGCGGCCAGGUCCUGCUGUAGUGGGUGAGGAAGGUUGAAAACCCUUCCCCCGGUGAGAGGGGGCAGCAGUGGUGAUGAGGCAGUCUCUCGAACAAUUAUAAGUUUGCUGGCUCGAACAGCGAUAUGUCAAACCAGCCUACUGAAGACUAAAGCAAGCAUAGUUUAGUGGAAGGUUGUGCUUACAUUUGAAAAGAAAAGUACUGUAAAAACAUCAAAUAAAGAUUGUGUUUGAAAAAAACAUGAAACGCUUUUUUGAAGA